CCUACUGUGGUAGUGUUAACCUGGCCAGCCUUUCCAGAAUCUUGGAAGAUCCCCUUGUUUUGAGCCUUGAUUAAUUGUCUGUUUCUUCCCUUCAUCUUAGGCUGUUCAAGCUGAGCCGCCGAGCUGGGUUUCUCCAUCUGGGACUCACCUCCCGUCAAGAUUGGAUUCUGCUGCACCUGUCUACCCACCUUGCUUACCUGGAACAUCGGAGCGUUCCAGCCGGUUCUGCACAGGCUCACGCCCCAGACUUGUACCCGUCUCUACCCCCCUGGCGGAUCGAUCGCCUCCUGAAUACCUGACUUCUGACCACUCUGCUCGCCUCGUUCCUGAAACUGAGAAAUAAAACUUUAAAUCUA